rnacentral:lncRNA from 1 species
UGUAUUUGUUAUAUCAGUUCAAUAAGCUAUUUUGUGAAAGACGACUAGGCUAUAUUGAAAUAAGUCGUCUGACAAAUGAUCAUAUGAUGUAUUGAUUAUAACUUAUGCCUGUCUAUCAUGCCAAUACGCUAGAUAACGGAAGUCAAAUUAAGGUAUACAGACGAGGAGACAUACAAAGUUAUGCCAAUUGAUAUUGGUAUGUUAUGCAGAUCAGAUUUACCAUCCUCCUCCCUUCCCUCUUCAAUAAAUAUCCCAUAGGCCCAUAGGCCUCUACAUUAUGGACAAGACUUCAUCCUCCCUACACCUCUGAUGAAUGUAACAGGAAACCUGUUCAAUCAUGCACUGCAAAAUCGUUCUGACUAUGAAUACGGAGAACAUCAACACAUUAAAACAUCAACAGCCAGAGGAUAUACCCAUUAGACUUGGGGCUCUGCUGGGAGUUUACCUCAUGUUUGGAUUUUUGUAUUCUGCUUUGCCACUAAAAUCUAAAUAAAC